GAUGAACGCUGGCGGCGUGCCUAAUACAUGCAAGUCGAGCGAACAGACGAGGAGCUUGCUCCUCUGACGUUAGCGGCGGACGGGUGAGUAACACGUGGAUAACCUACCUAUAAGACUGGGAUAACUUCGGGAAACCGGAGCUAAUACCGGAUAAUAUAUUGAACCGCAUGGUUCAAUAGUGAAAGACGGUUUUGCUGUCACUUAUAGAUGGAUCCGCGCCGCAUUAGCUAGUUGGUAAGGUAACGGCUUACCAAGGCAACGAUGCGUAGCCGACCUGAGAGGGUGGUCGGCCACCCUUGAACUGGGACACGGUCCAGGCUCCUAAGGGAAGGAGCAGUAGGGAAUCUUACGCAAUAGGCGAAAGCUUGGCGGAGCAACGCCGCGUGAGUGAUGGAAGUCUUCGGAUCGUAAAACUCUGUUUUUAGGGGAAAACCAAUUUGUAAGUAACUAAGCACGUCUUGACGGUAACUAAUCAAAAAGCCACGGCUAACUACGUG
rnacentral:rRNA from 1 species